GGCCGCAGUAAUUUGACUGUGCAAAGGUAGCAUAAUCAUUAGUCUUUUAAUUGAAGGCUGGUAUGAAAGGUUAGACGAAGUAAAAGCUGUUUUAUAAUAAACCUUUUUGAUUUUAGAUUUUAAGUAAAAAUACUUAAAUUUUUUUAAGGGACGAGAAGACCCUAUAGAGUUUAAUAUUUAAUAUUUUAAUUGAGUUAUAAGUGAAAUUAUUUGAUUAGUAUGGUAAAUAUUUAAUUGGGGUGAUAGAAGAAUAAGAAGAACUUUUUUUUAAUUGAAAUAUUAUAUGUAGUUUAUAGAUCCAUUUUUAAUGAUUAGAAGAUUAAAUUACCUUAGGGAUAACAGCAUAA
rnacentral:rRNA from 1 species